ACGCUCGACACCUACGGGAAGCAGCAGUAGGGAAUCUUCCACAAUGGACGCAAGUCUGAUGGAGCAACGCCGCGUGAGUGAAGAAGGUCUUCGGAUCGUAAAACUCUGUUGUUAGAGAAGAACACGAGUGAGAGUAACCGUUCAUUCGAUGACGGUAUCCUAACCAGCAAGUCACGGCUAACUACGUGCCGNAGCCGCGGUAAUCUGAGCGGGCUGGCAAGGC
rnacentral:rRNA from 1 species